UACGGGGGGAGCAAGCGUUGUUCGGAUUUACUGGGCGUAAAGGGCGCGUAGGCGGCCACCGCAAGUCGGUUGUGAAAUCUCUGGGCUUAACCCAGAAAGGUCAACCGAUACUGCGGGGCUAGAGUGCAGAAGGGGCAACUGGAAUUCUCGGUGUAGCGGUGAAAUGCGUAGAUAUCGAGAGGAACACCUGCGGCGAAGGCGGGUUGCUGGGCUGACACUGACGCUGAAGCGCGAAAGCUAGGGGAGCGAUCGGG
rnacentral:rRNA from 1 species